AGGCGACAUUCUGCAAAAAUUGAACAAGUUACAACAGGGUUUGGUAAGAUGGGCAACCUCAAUUAGACACAGAAGAGCAAGUCGUAAGAAGGAGUUGAUAACAAAUUUAGAGAUUCUGAUGGGUAGAAAAAGAACUAAUGAGAACUUAGUAGAAUUAAUUGAUGCGAAAAUUCAUCUAAAUCUCGUGAUUGAUAAGGAAGAGAUGUACUAAGAGCAAAGGGCCCGAGCUAACUAGUAGAAAUUGGGAGACAAAAAAACAACUUUCUUUCAUAGUUAUGCCUCGCAAAGGAAAAGAAUGAAUACUAUUCGAAACGAAUAUGGGAGAGACAAGUGGUGUGGGGGAUAUGGAGAAUAUUACUCAAUUAUUUUCAAAACCUUUUCUCAUCAAAAGGGUGUGGAAACUUUCAUCACAUCCUUUCAGGAAUUGAGAGAUGCAUCUCAGAAGAGGUAAAUUCGAAGCUAAUUGCUAAAUUCACGAAGAAGGAAGUUGUGAUGGCACUAAAAGAAAUGGGUCCUACAAAGGCUUCCGGGGACGAUGGAUUUUCAUAUUUGUUUUUCCACCAGUUUUGGUAUAUUGUUGGAACAGACAUUGUUGACUUUUGUUUGAGAAUCUUGAAUGAAGGUAUGGUUCUGGAUUCUAUUAAUGUUACGAAUAUUGUGUUAAUCCCUAAAGUUUCCCAUUCGAAAAACCUUGGUAAUUUUAGACCAAUUAGUCUAUGUAAUGUUUUGUAUCAAUUGAUAGUGAAAAUGAUUGUUAACCAUUAAAAACACAUAUUGGAGGACUGCAUUGAUAGCGCUCAAAGCGCCUUUGUAACGGGUAGACUUAUUUCGGAUAAUGUUCUUCUUGCUUAUGAGAUCUUGCAUACAUUUCAGACAAAAGAGAUUAUGGAAGAAAGGGUUUAUGGCACUAAAGCUGGACAUGAGUAAGGCUUAUGAUAGAGUUAAAUGGUCUUUUCUUAAGGCAAUGAUGCUACGAAUGGGGUUUCAUAUUUCUGGGUAGAGAUUAUAAUGAAAUGCAUCUCGACUGUCUCUUAUUCUAUUAUUGUGAACAAAAAAGAAAGGACAAUUUUUAAACCAAUGAGGGGUCAUCGACAAGGUAAUCCUCUUAGUCUUUUUUUAUUUGAUGUGCAGUGAGGAUCUCUCGUCGCUUAUGAGACUGGCUUUGAGGGAAGGUUUGAUAAAAGGUGUAAAAGUUAGUAGAAGCAAUCCUCCGAUUUUACAUUUAUUAUUUGCUGAUGAUUGUAUUUUGUUUAGUGAAGUGGGAAGGGGUGCAAAAAUUUUAAAUUCAAUUUUGAGGGAAUACAAGGGUUGUUCUAGGUAAUGUGUGAAUUAUGAAAAAUCCACUAUCUUUUAUAAUACAAAUACUCCUGAAAGGACCCAAUGUGUUGUUUAUGACAUUCUUGGGGUUAAGCAUUCAAAUAAUAUGGAGCGAUAUCUUGGCUUGCCAAACAUGGUGGGGAAAAAUAAGAAAGCUUCUUUUCAAAUUUUAAAAGAUCGCAUGAGGCAAAGAAUUGAUAAUUGGAGUGUCAAAGAGAUUUCUUUCGUAAAGGGGAAAGGAAGUCUUUAUAAAGACAGUUUUGCAAGCCAUUCCGGCUUAUUCUAUGGCAUGUUUCUUCCUUCCAAAAUCUUUUUGUGGUGAUUUAGAGAGUAUAAUGGCUCGAUUUUGGUGGCAAAAAGGUAAUGAAAGAAGAAUGAUUCAUUGGUGUGGUUGGGAUCGACUUCGUAAAUUAAAGGAGAAUAGGGGAUUGGGAUUUCGUAGUUUGACCAAGUUUAAUGUUGUAUUAUUAGCUAAAUAGGGGUGACGUAUUAUUAAUCAUCCAAAUUCAUUAUUAUUGCGAGUUCUAAAAGCUAAGUAUUUUCCAAAUAUUUACUUUUUAAAUGUUGAGUUACGGAAUCUACCUUCAUUUACCUGAAAGAGUGUGUGGGCUGCUUAGGGCUUGCUGAAGAGCGGUUUAUGUUGGAGGGUAGGAAUUGAGGAGAAAAAAUCAAUUAUGGCUGAUGCUUGGCUUCUAGGGACUGUAAACAAUAAAGUGUCAACAAACAUUUAUAGCGGUGAGGUCAGUUUGGUUUCGAACUUAAUUAAUACACAGCUAUGAGAAUGGAAAAAUAAGUUUAUUAAUUCUUAGAAUUUUGAAAAUCCCCUUAGCUGUAGAAGCUCAUGAUGAUUUGAUGGUUUGAUAAAGGGAACCUUCAGGGGAAUUUUCUAUGCGGAGUGUUUAUAAAUUAUUACAUGAAAGUAAUAUUGAACCUAAUUAUUUAAAGACCAAGAUGAAAAUUUUUUACAAAAAAACUAUGGAUCAGUAAUAUUCCAGCCAAAAUUAAGAUUUACAUUUGGAAAAUUUCCUGGAAUUUCAUUCCUAAUCUAGCUAUUUUAUCCACAAAAAGAAUGGCGAUGGAGACUGCGUACCUAAGAUGUGUAGGGGCUACUGAAAAUGUUGAUCACCUUUUGCGAGGCUGUCCUAUUACACGAGAAGUCUAGGUAAGUUUAAAUCUUGAUUGGGUAUUAACAGGAAUAAAUAUGAAUUGCUAGGAAUGGCUUAGCUGGGUGUUUAAAAGCUAUACUGGGUCGCAAUGUUGUUUAUUCUGCUGCUCCUUGUGGGAGAUCUGGACUAACAGAAAUAAGUGGUUAUUUGAGGGGAAGAGAAAUAGGGGUUGUGAUAUUACUGCAUGGGUCUUAAGGUAUGCUAAGAAAAUAGACGAGUGUGAGACUAGUAAAUUGACCAAGGAAACCGUGACUAUGGAAUGGUGCCCUCGAAUAGGUCCGAUAUUAAAUUGAAUUUUGACACGGCAUUUGACUAGGCACAGGCUAAAUCGGCUUCAGGGUUAGUUGCAAGAAAUGCUUCUAGAGAGAUUCUCGCCUCUAAAACUGUGGUACACAGGGCUAUUGCUUCUCCUUUCGCAGUAGAGGCACAUGCGUGUCUCCAAAUAGUUUUAUUGGGGAAAUAAAAGGGAUUUACAUUAGAUCGAAGGGGAUUCAGCUUCAGUUAUAAAGAGAAGUAAGUCAGAUCUGGUAGAUAGAUCGAUGAUAAGGGCUUUAAUAAGGAACUUACAAUGUUAAAAACUAUUCUUCCAUCAGAUAUUAUUUAAACACAUUCCUAGAUCAGCAAAUAUAAUGGCUCAUGAACUAGCCAGAGAAGCGAUGAGAAAUGGGUCACGGACUUACCUUCUCGGAGGACUGCUUGAGCAAAAUGCAACAGAAGAUGGAUCGUGCAGAAGGAGAGAACCAGAUUGAAGAUUGACUGAUGAAGGCGUUUGGGUUUUGGGAAGAGAUAAAUGAAGUAAAUGAUGGUCUACUGGUUUUUGGAAACUACUUCUUGGGGACUGGAACCGUCAAUAAUAAUAAUGAUGACAUUUAUUGGGUGCCAGCUGUGAAUCAGACUGUGGUGUUUUCUUUAUUUUGUUUUGUUUUACUUCUGUUUUUGUUUUUUUUGGUAGGCUUAGUUCAAAGCCCGA
rnacentral:lncRNA from 1 species